GACGAACGCUGGCGGCGUGCUUAACACAUGCAAGUCGAACGGAAAGGCCCUGCUUUUGUGGGGUGCUCGAGUGGCGAACGGGUGAGUAACACGUGAGUAACCUGCCCUUGACUUUGGGAUAACUUCAGGAAACUGGGGCUAAUACCGGAUAGGAGCUCCUGCUGCAUGGUGGGGGUUGGAAAGUUUCGGCGGUUGGGGAUGGACUCGCGGCUUAUCAGCUUGUUGGUGGGGUAGUGGCUUACCAAGGCUUUGACGGGUAGCCGGCCUGAGAGGGUGACCGGCCACAUUGGGACUGAGAUACGGCCCAGACUCCUACGGGAGGCAGCAGUGGGGAAUAUUGCACAAUGGGCGGAAGCCUGAUGCAGCAACGCCGCGUGCGGGAUGACGGCCUUCGGGUUGUAAACCGCUUUCGCCUGUGACGAAGCGUGAGUGACGGUAAUGGGUAAAGAAGCACCGGCUAACUACGUGCCAGCAGCCGCGGUGAUACGUAGGGUGCGAGCGUUGUCCGGAUUUAUUGGGCGUAAAGGGCUCGUAGGUGGUUGAUCGCGUCGGAAGUGUAAUCUUGGGGCUUAACCCUGAGCGUGCUUUCGAUACGGGUUGACUUGAGGAAGGUAGGGGAGAAUGGAAUUCCUGGUGGAGCGGUGGAAUGCGCAGAUAUCAGGAGGAACACCAGUGGCGAAGGCGGUUCUCUGGGCCUUUCCUGACGCUGAGGAGCGAAAGCGUGGGGAGCGAACAGGCUUAGAUACCCUGGUAGUCCACGCUGUAAACGGUGGGUACUAGGUGUGGGGUCCAUUCCACGGGUUCCGUGCCGUAGCUAACGCUUUAAGUACCCCGCCUGGGGAGUACGGCCGCAAGGCUAAAACUCAAAGGAAUUGACGGGGCCCCGCACAAGCGGCGGAGCAUGCGGAUUAAUUCGAUGCAACGCGUAGAACCUUACCUGGGUUUGACAUGGAUCGGGAGUGCUCAGAGAUGGGUGUGCCUCUUUUGGGGUCGGUUCACAGGUGGUGCAUGCCUGUCGUCAGCUCGUGUCGUGAGAUGUUGGGUUAAGUCCCGCAACGAGCGCAACCCUUGUUCACUGUUGCCAGCACGUUAUGGUGGGGACUCAGUGGAGACCGCCGGGGUCAACUCGGAGGAGGGUGGGGAUGACGUCAAGUCCUCAUGCCCCUUAUGUCCAGGGCUUCACGCAUGCUACAAUGGCUGGUACAGAGAGUGGCGAGCCUGUGAGGGUGAGCGAAUCUCGGAAAGCCGGUCUCAGUUCGGAUUGGGGUCUGCAACUCGACCUCAUGAAGUCGGAGUCGCUAGUAAUCGCAGAUCAGCAACGCUGCGGUGAAUACGUUCCCGGG
rnacentral:rRNA from 1 species